rnacentral:rRNA from 1 species
GACGAACGCUGGCGGCGUGCCUAAUACAUGCAAGUCGAGCGGGUUUAUCCUUCGGGGUAAGCUAGCGGCGGACGGGUGAGUAACACGUAGGUAACCUGCCUUUAAGACUGGGAUAACUAUCGGAAACGAUAGCUAAGACCGGAUAACUGGUUUUCUCGCAUGAGAGAAUUAUAAAACACGGAGCAAUCUGUGACUUGAAGAUGGGCCUGCGGCGCAUUAGCUAGUUGGUGAGGUAACGGCUCACCAAGGCGACGAUGCGUAGCCGACCUGAGAGGGUGAACGGCACACUGGGACUGAGACACGGCCCAGACUCCUACGGGAGGCAGCAGUAGGGAAUCUUCCGCAAUGGACGCAAGUCUGACGGAGCAACGCCGCGUGAGUGAUGAAGGUUUUCGGAUCGUAAAGCUCUGUUGCCCUAGACGAACAGCAUGAGGAGUAACUGCCUUGUGUGUGACGGUAUAGGAGAAGAAAGCCCGGCUAACUACGUGCCAGCCG